GACGAACGCUGGCGGCGUGCUUAACACAUGCAAGUCGAACGGAAAGGCCCUGCUUUUGUGGGGUGCUCGAGUGGCGAACGGGUGAGUAACACGUGAGUAACCUGCCCUUGAAUUUGGGAUAACUUCAGGAAACAGGGGCUAAUACCGGAUAGGAGCUCCUGCUGCAUGGGGGGGGUUGGAAAGUUUCGGCGGUUGGGGAUGGACUCGCGGCUUAUCAGCCUGUUGGUGGGGUAGUGGCUUACCAAGGCUUUGACGGGUAGCCCGCCUGGGAGGGUGACCGGCCACAAUGGGACUGAGAUACGGCCCAGACUCCUACGGGAGGCAGCAGUGGGGAAUAUUGCACAAUGGGCGGAAGCCUGAUGCAGCAACGCCCGGUGCGGGAUGACGGCCUUCGGGUUGUAAACCGCUUUCGCAGGUGACGAAGCGUGAGUGACGGUAAUGGGUAAAGAAGCCACGGCUAACUACGUG
rnacentral:rRNA from 1 species